GACGAACGCUGGCGGCGUGCUUAACACAUGCAAGUCGAACGGAAAGGCCCUGCUUUUGUGGGGUGCUCGAGUGGCGAACGGGUGAGUAACACGUGAGUAACCUGCCCUUGACUUUGGGAUAACUUCAGGAAACUGGGGCUAAUACCGGAUAGGAGCUCCUGCUGCAUGGUGGGGGUUGGAAAGUUUCGGCGGUUGGGGGUGGACUCGCGGCUUAUCAGCUUGUUGGUGGGGUAGUGGCUUACCAAGGCUUUGACGGGUAGCCGGCCUGAGAGGGUGACCGGCCACAUUGGGACUGAGAUACGGCCCAGACUCCUACGGGAGGCAGCAGUGGGGAAUAUUGCACAAUGGGCGGAAGCCUGAUGCAGCAACGCCGCGUGCGGGAUGACGGCCUUCGGGUUGUAAACCGCUUUCGCCUGUGACGAAGCGUGAGUGACGGUAAUGGGUAAAGAAGCACCGGCUAACUACGU
rnacentral:rRNA from 1 species